ensembl:lncRNA
UUUUAUUAACUGUUAUUGAUAUUUAUAUUUAAAAGUGCAAUACUGUAAUUUUCUGCUGCUCAUUCCUGUGCAAUAUCCCAUCUGUCCUCCCGUCAUAUUUCUUUUCAAGAUUUUCUUAUUUAAUCCCUGUACAUAUAUUUAUAUUUAUAGAUACAUAUAUAUUUAGUCAUCUUUUCUCUUUUACCAUGUCUCUCUAAUAUUUUGCUCCUUACUAUUUUUCUAUUUUUUAUUAUAUUUUAUUAUAUUUUCUCCUACUGUACCACGCUGCUGAGUGACUGCUGCUCGCCAAACACAUUUCAUUGCAAUGUUGACCCUGUGCUAACUUGCAUAUGACAAAUAAAACUGAAAACUGAAAACUGAAUUUAAUGAGCACUGAGGUAAAAAAAAAUUAGAUGACAGGUAAGAUCUGAGAUGAUAUUAGGAACAGCUGAAUCAUUGAAUUAUAAUGUGGGGUCCUGUUUAUAUACUUGACCAUAAUUCAUGAAAGCCAUAUUUUUGACAGGUUUACACUCAUUAAAAAAUAUAUAUAUAUAUAUUUGCAGUGAGUACAAUGAGAAAGCAUGCCUUUGUGGGGAGAUAUUUUUGCAUCCAGUCAUGUUACUAUUUAAGCUAAUGAAGUGUGAGAUUUACCAGCAGGUUUUUUCUGUUCUUUUCCACUCGGUUGUUGCCUUUUUUUCAACAUCUUACUGGCAUCAAACUGAAAAUGAGCAUGGAGAGUAACAUUUAACUGGGGGGGGGGUCUUUAAAAGACUUCCCAUUCAUUCAAUUCUUUUUUUUUUUUUGAAACAGGAUUGUACACAGUUGUGUAAUUCUCUUUCAUUUCCUUUCAUCUUAUGAAAGCACACUGCCACAUCUCUCCAUGAAAGUGAACAAGAUACUGAUACCGUUUUUAAUAUCUGACUGAAAGCCUCAUUUGAAUUUCUAAUUUGAAUUUCUAAGAGGCUUUAAAAAGACUUGAGACCAGAAGCCCUCAUGUCAUGACUCAGAAGGCAACAAUAGCUCAGGUGUUCCAUUCAGAGAGCUUGGCAGGUUUUCGUGUCAGUAUUAGAUGUGCACCAAGAAAAGAAUCUGUUUGUGGAAAAAAAGCUUCUGACAUGAAAUAAAGCUCCUGAUAUGAAGCAAAGACUUCAAAGGGUUGCUUUUUUUGGUCUGUUAUUUUUGAUGAUUUGAGUUUUUCCCACUCAGAUUAACUGAUGUCUUUUACCUUUAUUCUUCCUUGGGAUUAACUGAAAGUGCUAACACACAAACAAAACAGCCAGUGAUAGUUUUCC